rnacentral:lncRNA from 1 species
AGAACAGACAAAAACCCUGCUGUUUGGGGAUCUGUAAGUCACUAAAUGAGUUAGAUCCUAUUUUGGAUGGUGAUAUGUGUUGAGGACAAAGUCAUCCAGAGACGAAUGGCAAGGAAUCUGGUUAGGAUGUGGAUUGUAAUUUUAAACAAACUGUCCAGGAAAUAAUGUUACUGACAGUGAAACUAAGUAGGACCAGGUGUUAGGAGGCAUUGACAUCUCUAGGAGUUGCAAGACAGACAGACAAGGCUACAUAGAGAAACCUUAUUUCAAAAAAAUAAAAAAUAGGAUAAAUAAACAAGACACCCCUCCCCCCAAACCUAACAAACAAAAUCCCUAAUUGACUAAAAAGCUAAAGGAAGUUGGAAUUGGGGGUGGAGGGGUUGAGCCAUGUUGCUCUAUUGGGAAAGAGUGCAAGUUAGAGAAGGUAGGAUCUUAUCUGGUGACUUUAGGGUAAUAUAGAGUCCCUUGGGUGGAGUAGAUGAGCUCCUGAAGAAUGGACCAAGCUUUACAGAGGUAUUGUUUGCACAUUAGUUAUAAUGUCGUGUCUGGUAUAGCCCUUUGUUCAUAGUCCUGAUUAUCCUGGAACUUUGUCCUUUAAGCUCUCCUGCUCCUAUUUCUUUUGAGGACUAUGCCUUAACUGCUAGUGUGACCUGGGUUCCCAGUUAUGCUUGUCACUGCAGCCUGACCACUUGGGAAAGCUGUGCUAGGGUGCAUAUGUUGACAGAUUUUGCAAAACAAGUGAAAAAUGCUGCUUCUCCAAUCUGAAAAAAAUGAGUCUGCACAGUGCUUAUGUUACCUUUGCCUGGGUUCAGUUCCUAGCAUCUAUGUGGCAGCUCACAACCAUUGGCAAUCCCAGAGAAUCCCAUGCUCUGUCCUGAAUUUUGUGUGCUCCAGACAUGCACAUGGCUCACAGACAUGCAAACAAAACACGCAUACAAAAUACAUUUUAAAAAUAGCAUGGGUAUGAAAACAAAUCUGUAUUUUCAAAUUGCCUCUCUGAAAGAAUCUAGUUCUGCCAAGACAGGAGUAGAACUGUAUUUUAAAUGGGUCUUGAUCAGAUAGGUUGGGGGGUACUUUAUAAAACAGGCCUUGAGUCCAGUAUUGAAUGAAAGUUGUACUCAAAAGUACACAGCUGCUAGGUACGAGCCCAAUUACUGACGGGUUUGAGUAGUAGAGUGCCAGUUGACAGAUUCUGAUUGUCUUGGCAACCCUGUCUAAUCUUGAACUUGGCCUGGAAAGCACAGGCUUCUUUGAGCAUGGCCUUUCCACUGCCUGAGGAACUGAAGUUGGGGAUGGGGAUAGGCAUAUGGGCUGAGACCAUUAUGGAGUAAUGGGUAUCAGAUGGCCUCUUAACUCACCUGGUUAGUGUGGUCAGUUACAUCCUUACUGAAGGAUAUCAAACCACAGUGUGCAGAGAGGAAACCAUGUAGGCUUUCUUAGUAAUCUCUUAGAGAAGUUAGUUUUUGAAAGCUUAAGUAUGAAAUGGGUGGAAUAACGGGAGUUCAGAUCCCCUUGUAAGUAGAUUGCCAGGGGACUUGGAAAGGCUUAUAAAAAAAAAUGUGUGUUCUAUCUGUGUGUCCCUUCCUGGACCAAUGUGAAGAAUGAUGAACACGAGUCAACUCACUACAACAGUGUUUAGAUAGUGGGACCUACAGAACCCUGUUUGCCGUUAGCAGAACACACCAUGCAGAAGAUGUUUGGUACUUCAGAAAGAAUAUAAAGCUCAGUGUGGAGGAACACACUCUAAUCCUAAUGUGGGAUGCCAAAGCAAGAGGACCAAAAGUGUAAAGCCACUUGGGGAUAACGAAUAAUAAGAUCCUGUUCAAGCAACUACCACCACAACAAAAAUACACAAUUAUAGCGAAUGUGGAAGACAUAUCCUCGAGCUUAGAAUACUACAUGAAGAGUUGCAGAAGCUGUAUAUAAUAUACCAUUUAUAUGAAUUUUAAGCACAUUCAAAGUGCUCAUAUCACUUCCACUGGUUUGGGUUUCCUUAUUCUGUACGUGGGAUGGAGUUCUAACCUCAUAGGGUGGUGGUGGGGACAGUAAUAAAAUGCAUGUGUGACGUUAAGACUAGUGUCUGUCAUAUAACCAUUCCUGAUGUAUAGUAGAGUUAAUAUUUUGUCAAUUUUCUGUGGAUUCAAAAGGCAUGACAUAAGAGUGUAAACUUAUGAAAUGGGUUGAUGUAUGCUAUACUGCUCUAUAUUCUCUCAGUAUGAGAUGCUAGUGAAAUCACAAUGGAAACGUUCUUCACUUGUUUUUCUAAUUAUUGAUGCAGAUACAACCUAAGAUUGUUACAAUUUAACAGGAUAAUAUGGUGACUUCUUUCAACUGUUAAAAGUAAAUAAAAAUAAACAAAAAUUAAUCAUGGCCUCUGACAUCU